rnacentral:rRNA from 1 species
CGGUCCUAAGGUAGCGAAAUUCCUUGUCGGGUAAGUUCCGACCUGCACGAAUGGCAUAACGAUGGCCACACUGUCUCCUCCUGAGACUCAGUGAAGUUGAAGUGUUUGUGAUGAUGCAAUCUCCCCGCGGCUAGACGGAAAGACCCCAUGAACCUUUACUGUAGCUUUGCAUUGGACUUUGAACCGAUCUGUGUAGGAUAGGCGGGAGCCUGUGAAACCACAACGCCAGUUGUGGCGGAGGCGUCCUUGAAAUACCGCCCUGAUUUGUUUGAGGUUCUAACCUGGGACAGUCAUCCUGUCCGGGGACCGUGCAUGGUAGGCAGUUUGACUGGGGCGGUCUCCUCCUAAAGGGUAACGGAGGAGUGCGAAGGUACGCUAGGUACGGUCGGAAAUCGUGCUGAUAGUGCAAUGGCAAAAGCGUGCUUGACUGCGAGACCCACAAGUCGAGCAGAUACGAAAGUAGGUCAUAGUGAUCCGGUGGCUCUGUAUGGAAGGGCCAUCGCUCAACGGAUAAAAGGUACUCUGGGGAUAACAGGCUGAUACCGCCCAAGAGUUCAUAUCGACGGCGGUGUUUGGCACCUCGAUGUCGGCUCAUCUCAUCCUGGGGCUGUAGCCGGUCCCAAGGGUAUGGCUGUUCGCCAUUUAAAGAGGUACGUGAGCUGGGUUUAAAACGUCGUGAGACAGUUUUGUCCCUAUCUGCCGUGGGCGCUGGAAGAUUGACGGGGGCUGCUCCUAGUACGAGAGGACCGGAGUGGACUCACCUCUGGUGUACCGGUUGUCACGCCAGUGGCAUCGCCGGGUAGCUAUGUGGGGAAGAGAUAACCGCUGAAAGCAUCUAAGCGGGAAACUUGCCUGAAGAUAAGUCUUCCUGGAGGCUAGACCUCCCUAAAGAGUCGUUCGAGACCAGGACGUUGAUAGGAUGGGUGUGUAAGUGCUGUGAGGCACUCAGCUAACCAUUACUAAUUGCUCGUGAAGCUUGAUCCU